AGCUUUGCACAGUGGCAGUAUCGUAGCCAAUGAGGUUUAUCCGAGGCACGAUUAUUGCUAAUUGAAAACUAUACAUGAGAAGAAUAAGCUUACUUUUGUCCCCCAAGAAUUAAUUUUUGCCCCCUUGGGAGCAAU